rnacentral:rRNA from 1 species
UACGUAGGUGGCGAGCGUUGUCCGGAUUUACUGGGUGUAAAGGGCGCGUAGGCGGGUCAGCAAGUCAGAUGUGAAAUGCAGAGGCUUAACCUCUGAGCUGCAUUUGAAACUGUUGGUCUUGAGUAUCGGAGAGGCAGGCGGAAUUCCUAGUGUAGCGGUGAAAUGCGUAGAUAUUAGGAGGAACACCAGUGGCGAAGGCGGCCUGCUGGACGACAACUGACGCUGAGGCGCGAAAGCGUGGGGAG